UAACAAAUCUUCAACUUACUU
rnacentral:piRNA from 1 species